rnacentral:rRNA from 1 species
AUUGAACGCUGGCGGCAUGCUUUACACAUGCAAGUCGAGCGGCAGCGCGGGCUUCGGCCUGGCGGCGAGUGGCGAACGGGUGAGUAAUACAUCGGAACGUGCCCAGUAGUGGGGGAUAGCUCGGCGAAAGCCGGAUUAAUACCGCAUACGACCUGAGGGUGAAAGCGGGGGAUCUUCGGACCUCGCGCUAUUGGAGCGGCCGAUGGCAGAUUAGCUAGUUGGUGGGGUAAAGGCUUACCAAGGCGACGAUCUGUAGCUGGUCUGAGAGGACGACCAGCCACACUGGGACUGAGACACGGCCCAGACUCCUACGGGAGGCAGCAGUGGGGAAUUUUGGACAAUGGGCGAAAGCCUGAUCCAGCAAUGCCGCGUGUGUGAUGAAGGCCUUCGGGUUGUAAAGCACUUUUGGCGGGAACGAAAAGGACUGUGCCAAUACCACGGUUCGAUGACGGUACCCGCAGAAUAAGCACCGGCUAACUACGUG